rnacentral:rRNA from 1 species
UACGAAGGGGGCUAGCGUUGCUCGGAAUCACUGGGCGUAAAGCGCACGUAGGCGGUAUUGCAAGUCCCAUGUGAAAGCCCACGGCUUAACCGUGGAAGUGCAUGGGAAACUGCAGUACUUGAGUACUUAAGAGGAUCGCGGAAUUCCCGGUGUAGAGGUGAAAUUCGUAGAUAUCGGGAGGAACACCAGUGGCGAAGGCGGCGAUCUGGGAAGAUACUGACGCUGAGGUGCGAAAGCGUGGGGAGCAAACAGG